CCUCUCCUUGCAAUGCAAUGAUUCAGUGCUCUCCGCUCGUGAGGUUAUAUUAACUCUAGGCAGUUCAAAAACAGUACAGGAAUUCCUUUUUGCUGCAAAGGAGAAAAAAAAGAUCAUUUCGGGUAUUUGCUGCAGAGGGAGCUCCAAGGUAUCAGGGGCAUCUUCUUGCAAAAGAAUUGGCUGGAAGAGGUUUACAAACAGCGCUGAUUACUGAUUCUGCAAUUUUUGCUAUGAUAUCUCAAGUGAUCAUGGUAGGAGGCAGUCUUAUAUUUUCCAUUUGGGAAUCUACAUCCUAUGUU